CUACGGGACGCUGCAGUGGGGAAUAUUGGACAAUGGGGGAAACCCUGAUCCAGCAAUGCCGCGUGUGUGAAGAAGGCCUGCGGGUUGUAAAGCACUUUCGGUUGGGAGGACUGCUUCUAGCACUAAUAUUGUUGGAAGUUGACGUUACCUUCAGAAGAAGCACCGGCUACCUCCGUGCCAGCAGCCGCGGUAAUACGGAGGGUGCAAGCGUUAAUCGGAAUUACUGGGCGUAAAGCGCGCGUAGGCGGCUAGAUCAGUCGGGUGUGAAAGCCCCGGGCUUAACCUGGGAACUGCAUCCGAUACUGUCUAGCUUGAGUACAGGAGAGGAGAGUGGAAUUCCACAUGUAGCGGUGAAAUGCGUAGAUAUGUGGAGGAACACCAAUGGCGAAGGCAGCUCUCUGGCCUGAUACUGACGCUGAGGUGCGAAAGCGUGGGGAUCAAACAGGAUUAGAUACCCCGGUAGUC
rnacentral:rRNA from 1 species